rnacentral:rRNA from 1 species
AGUGAACGCUGGCGGCAGGCCUAACACAUGCAAGUCGAACGGCAGCACAGGAGAGCUUGCUCUCUGGGUGGCGAGUGGCGGACGGGUGAGGAAUAUAUCGGAAUCUACCCUUUCGUGGGGGAUAACGUCGGGAAACUUACGCUAAUACCGCAUACGAACUGAGGUUGAAAGCGGCGGACCGCAAGGCGUCGCGCGGAUGGCUGAGCCGAUAUCCGAUUAGCUAGUUGGCGGGGUAAAGGCCCACCAAGGCGACGAUCGGUAGCUGGUCUGAGAGGAUGAUCAGCCACACUGGAACUGAGACACGGUCCAGACUCCUACGGGAGGCAGCAGUGGGGAAUAUUGGACAAUGGGCGCAAGCCUGAUCCAGCCAUGCCGCGUGUGUGAAGAAGGCCUUCGGGUUGUAAAGCACUUUUGUUGGGAAAGAAAAGCGGUCGGUUAAUACCCGGUCGUUCUGACGGUACCCAAAGAAUAAGCACCGGCUAACUUCGUGCCAGCAGCCGCCGUAA